GACGAACGCUGGCGGCGUGCUGAACAGAUGCAAGUCGAACGGAAAGGCACUGCUAUGGGGGGGUGCUCAAGGGGCUAACGGGUGAGUAACACGUGAGUAACCGGCCCUGGACGUUGUGAGAACUUCAGGAAACUGGAGCUAAUACCAGAUAGGAGCUCGGGCGGCGGGGGGGGGGUGGGAAAGUUUCGGCGGUUGGGGAGGGACUCGCGGCUUAUCAGCUUGUUGGUGGGGUAGUGGCUUACCAAGGCUUUGACGGGUAGCCGGCCUGAGAGGGUGACCGGCCACAUUGGGACUGAGAUACGGCCCAGACUCCUACGGGAGGCAGCAGUGGGGAAUAUUGCACAAUGGGCGGAAGCCUGAUGCAGCAACGCCGCGUGCGGGAUGACGGCCUUCGGGUUGUAAACCGCUUUCGCCUGUGACGCAGCGUGAGUGACGGUAAUGGGUAAAGAAGCACCGGCUAACUCCGUG
rnacentral:rRNA from 1 species